ACUAGGGUAGACCGGGGACAAUAGAAACACGUCAUGAUUGAAACAAGUCAAAUUUCUCGAAAACUAUAAUACCUACGCGUCUGACGUAACACUCGGAACACGCGGUCGGCCAUGUUUGAAUCCUUGGCCAGUAGCCUUCGAGCGCCGGUGCGAGACGGGAGUGUCCACGAGCCAAACCAGUUUUUCGCGGUAAAAAAUGCCCCGAAAACGGAAGCAUGUUACGGAGAGAACCUCAAAAAGCAUGUUUGCCAUUUUAGCAACAACCGACUGCUGCCAACCGGCUGAUUAAACAAGUCGGCCACUGCUAAAAUUUAUAUCAGAGAGAGUUAAGGAUUUUUUUUUGAUAGGCAUAUCGCCAUGUUUUUGUUUACGUAAUAAAACAAUUUAUACUGAUUAUUUUA